GCCUGGGUGGCUCAGUCGGUUGAGCGUCCGACUUCGGCUCAGGUCAUGAUCUCGCAGUUCGUGGGUUCAAGCCCAGCAUCGGGCU
rnacentral:tRNA from 1 species